GAGGAAGGGGCAGACUGGAUGUGGUCCUGCAAACAUGGCGAUAUCAGGUGGCACAAAGAAAGAGAAAUAGAACUUGUCACCAUCAUCAGUCCUUUAUUUCAUUCACUGGGGAACAUCACAACCUUCAGAUGUGUCUUAUCAGGAUAAAUGCAGCUGCAGGGAAAAUUAUUUGAAGGACUCGUCAGCCCCAUCCUACUCCAGAUUCACCAAGGAUCCAGCUGAAGCCCCGUUCACACUACAAGCGACACGCAACGACAAAGCAACACGAUCCCAUUCAUUUCAAUGGAGAGCUGGCGAUUUCCGGCAACAGAGGCCGUU